rnacentral:rRNA from 1 species
GACGAACGCUGGCGGCGUGCUUAACACAUGCAAGUCGAGCGGAGCGGCGAACGGGUGAGUAACGCGUGAGUAACUGCCCCCCUCUCUGGGCUAACAGUUGGAAACGGCUGCUAAUACCGGAUAGUGGGGGAUGACUCGCGUCCUAUCAUGUUGUUGGUGGGGUAGUGGCCUACCAAGGCGACGACGGGUAGCCGGCCUUAGAGGGCGACCGGCGACAAUGGGAUGAGAGACGGCCCAAAGUGCUACGGGAGGCAGCAGGGGGGAAUAUGGCACAAGGGGGGAAACCGUGAUGCAGAAACGCCGGGGGCGGGAUGACGGUCUGGGGGUUGUAAACCGCUUUCAGCCAUGACGCGGGAGUGGCAGAAGAAGCACCGGCUAACUACGUGCCAGCAGCCGCGGUAAUAC